CCUAGCUUACCGCGGAGGGACAUUACCGAGUUUACAACUCCCAAACCCAAUGUGAACCAUACCAAACUGUUGCCUCGGCGGGGUCACGCCCCGGGUGCGUCGCAGCCCCGGAACCAGGCGCCCGCCGGAGGGACCAACCAAACUCUUUUCUGUAGUCCCCUCGCGGACGUUAUUUCUUACAGCUCUGAGCAAAAAUUCAAAAUGAAUCAAAACUUUCAACAACGGAUCUCUUGGUUCUGGCAUCGAUGAAGAACGCAGCGAAAUGCGAUAAGUAAUGUGAAUUGCAGAAUUCAGUGAAUCAUCGAAUCUUUGAACGCACAUUGCGCCCGCCAGUAUUCUGGCGGGCAUGCCUGUCCGAGCGUCAUUUCAACCCUCGAACCCCUCCGGGGGGUCGGCGUUGGGGAUCGGGAACCCCUAAGACGGGAUCCCGGCCCCGAAAUACAGUGGCGGUCUCGCCGCAGCCUCUCCUGCGCAGUAGUUUGCACAACUCGCACCGGGAGCGCGGCGCGUCCACGUCCGUAAAACACCCAACUUCUGAAAUGUUGACCUCGGAUCAGGUAGGAAUACCCGCUGAACUUAAGCAUAUCAAAUUGGAAAGGAAAU
rnacentral:rRNA from 1 species